UCAGACGAUGCGUCAUGCAUAUCAAUAAGCGGAGGAAAAGAAACUAACAAGGAUUCCCUUAGUAACGGCGAGUGAAGCGGGAAGAGCUCAAAUUUGAAAUCUUCAAGGUUUUACCUUGACGAAUUGUAGUUUAAAGAAGUGCUUUCUGUUGAAGUUUUGGUAAAAGUUCUUUGGAAUAGGACAUCAUAGAGGGUGAGAAUCCCGUAUUUGACCAUUAUUUUCAGCUGUGUGAUACACUUUCAAAGAGUCGGAUUGUUUGGGAAUGCAGUCCAAAAUGGGUGGUAAAUUUCAUCUAAAGCUAAAUAUUGGCGAGAGACCGAUAGCGAACAAGUACCGUGAGGGAAAGAUGAAAAGAACUUUGAAAAGAGAGUUAAACAGUACGUGAAAUUGUCAAAAGGGAAGCGUUUGACACCAGUGUUGUUUUCUCGAAAAUCAAUUAAAAAGAGUUGGAUUUUGUGUUGUAUUGACCUUAACAGCUUGCUUCACUCUUUUCCUGCUUUUUUUAAUGCACUUUUCGUUUAACAAGUCAACAUCAGUUUCUUUUGUUGUAAAAGGGUCAUUGGAAGGUGGCUUUCUCUUCGGAGAAAGUGUUUAUAGCCUUUGAUCUCUGCAAUCGGAGAGACUGAGGUCUGCAGCGUAGAUCCUUCGGGGUUAGAUACAUUUGUGCUAAGCUACAGCUUUUCAUAGACAACUUGUUGACUAUGUUUAGUCUUGUAACUUACCCGCUUAUGCUAUUUUACCUACGCUUAGGAUGUUGAUAUGCAUGACUGAUAU
rnacentral:rRNA from 1 species